UACGUAGGGGGCAAGCGUUGUCCGGAUUUAUUGGGCGUAAAGAGCGUGUAGGCGGCUUGGUAGGUCUGCUGUGAAACUCGAGGCUCAACCUCGAGCUGUCGGCGGAAACCACUUGGCUAGAGUCCGGAAGAGGAGAGUGGAAUUCCAGUGUAGCGGUGAAAUGCGUAGAGAUUGGGAAGAACACCGGUGGCGAAAGCGCUCUACUGGGCCUGCACUGACACUGAGGGACGAAAGCUAGGGGGAGCGAAAGG
rnacentral:rRNA from 1 species